CUCACUUCCCUGGAGCCGCCCACUCGCCCGUCGGUCGCUAGCUCGCUCGGUGCGCGUCGUCCCGCUCCAUGGCGCUCUUCGUGCGGCUGCUGGCCCUCGCCCUGGCUCUGGCCCUGGGCCCCGCCGCGACCCUGGCGGGUCCCGCCAAGUCGCCCUACCAGCUGGUGCUGCAGCACAGCAGGCUCCGGGGCCGCCAGCACGGCCCCAACGUGUGUGCUGUGCAGAAGGUUAUUGGCACUAAUAGGAAGUACUUCACCAACUGCAAGCAGUGGUACCAAAGGAAAAUCUGUGGCAAAUCAACAGUCAUCAGCUACGAGUGCUGCCCUGGAUAUGAAAAGGUCCCUGGGGAGAAGGGCUGUCCAGCAGAGUCAUCUUUUGGUAUCUGCGGGGGAUUGAUUCUAGGACCCAUUCUAGGAUGCCAUAUCCUCAGAUGUUCAAGUCCCUGAUAUAAAGUGCCCUACCACUCUCAAACCUUUACGAGACCCUGGGAGUCGUUGGAUCCACCACCACUCAGCUGUACACGGACCGCACGGAGAAGCUGAGGCCUGAGAUGGAGGGGCC
rnacentral:sRNA from 1 species